rnacentral:rRNA from 1 species
GACGAACGCUGGCGGCGUGCUUAACACAUGCAAGUCGAACGGAAAGGCCCUGCUUUUGUGGGGUGCUCGAGUGGCGAACGGGUGAGUAACACGUGAGUAACCUGCCCUUGACUUUGGGAUAACUUCAGGAAACUGGGGCUAAUACCGGAUAGGAGCUCCUGCUGCAUGGUGGGGGUUGGAAAGUUUCGGCGGUUGGGGAUGGACUCGCGGCUUAUCAGCUUGUUGGUGGGGUAGUGGCUUACCAAGGCUUUGACGGGUAGCCGGCCUGAGAGGGUGACCGGACACAGUGGGACUGAGAUACGGCCCAGACUCCGACGGGAGGCAGCAGUGGGGAAUAUUGCACAAUGGGCGGAAGUCUGAUGCAGCAACGCCGCGUGCGGGAUGACGGCCUUCGGGUUGUAAACCGCUGUCGCCUGUGACGAAGCGUGAGUGACGGUAAUGGGUAAAGAAGCACCGGCUAACUACGUG